rnacentral:rRNA from 1 species
UACAGAGGUCCCAAGCGUUGUUCGGAUUCACUGGGCGUAAAGGGUGCGUAGGUGGCGAAGUAAGUCGGAUGUGAAAUCUCCGAGCUCAACUCGGAAAUGGCAUUGGAAACUACUUUGCUCGAGGGUCGGAAGGGGGACUGGAAUUCUCGGUGUAGCAGUGAAAUGCGUAGAUAUCGAGAGGAACACCAGUGGCGAAGGCGAGUCCCUGGACGACUCCUGACACUGAGGCACGAAAGCUAGGGGAGCAAACAGG